GACUAAACUCACCACACACAACUGAUUCUCCUCCUCCGAGCUGCCUGAAGAAAAAUCUCAGAAUGGAAAAACAGUCACAAUAGAGUUAAGUUUGAAACUACUGUAUUAGAAGUUGAUCUGUUGCAAUGUCCAGGAUGUGCAAUGGCAGAAAGGGAAAUAAGUGAGUAAAACCACAAGAACCACCUCCCCCCUAGAAACAAGGUUAAAAACAUGUUUUUUGGAGAACUUUAAUUUUCAGCUAGGUGCUGGCCGAUGUGGUAUUAGCAGUCUCAUCUGAGAUUAUAAAACCAUUCAAUUAGCAAUCCCCGAAAAAAAGUGAUGAGGAGUGGCAUAUUGUUUAUGAUAUCUUACCUUGUUAACAUUACAGCUAGCAGUGGGCCAGAGCUCUUGGUUUUGCAAUACCCCGAAGAUGCCAGUGUGCUCCUUAACUCCACUGUGUGGAUGCUUUGUGUCUUUGAAUACCCCAAGGAGGAGAAUGAGGAGCCAGUUGUGUACUGGAGGAAGGGCCCCAGCUGUGACAACCAGCAGAGUCUUCGGUCAAGUUCAGGAGCAGGCAGGCCACACAUACACAUUAUCAAGGACAUAUUCAGGGGAUUCUCUAUCUUAAAACUGAGCAGUGUUGACAAGAAUGACAGCAGCUCAUAUUUCUGUGAUGUGAUACUAACCCAGAAAACCCACGGCAAAUGUGGAAAAGGAACCAAGCUGACAGUGCACGGUAAGGGGUAUCUGAUAGUCACAGAAAUUGUAUUAAUGGAUACAAGGUGAGUUAAAUAUUCCAUCAGUUUUACUGACUUCUAUUCCACCACUCAGCGCUGUGAGAAGAAGGAUGGGAAAAAAGCAGUCUACAGUCAUGACCUGAGGAUCUGAUUGUGGGCAAUAAAACACGGAUUCAAUAAUUAAUACAUAUUAUAUACAUGAAAUAUUUUAUAUAUUACAGUAGUUUUGGUUAAUCUUCUAAAUUACUAUAUACAUUAUAUAUUUAAAAUAUGAAAUACAUUUUCUCGGUAUUAUUCACAAACGUUUACUGAAACUUUACUUUGCUCAAUACAAAAAUAAAAAAUCCGUUACAUUCAUUUUUCAUCAUUUUCCUCAGUCCUUGUGUACCAGCAAUACUGUUUUGAAGUAUGCAAUCUGUGCUUUAAUCUCCAGCUUCUGAAAAAUUAAUAGUAAAUCAAGCAGUAUGGGUGAUUUUAGAAAGUGUAUGUGGAAGUAGGGAUACAUAGGAGCAGGAGAUUCUCUAAUAAUAUACUAAUAAGUUUCACAUAAUUGUAAAAUUAUUUUCAGCACCUUAUAACUCUUCUCCUAGCCUCGAUUUAUAUAAACAAUUCCUGUAAUCCUGAAGGGGACAGUGACCUCAGUGACUGAGAUUUCAUAUGCAAAGACUGUAUAAGAUCAGAACCGACUUGGUGGUGUUGGUUCCUUCUUCUUGGAUACACUCUCUUUGUCACCACAGUUAUCAUAGCUUUUGGUAUUCAUCAGUGCUGUAAAAAGUGCAAGAAUGAUUCAAGAAAUACAGAUAGCAGCACUACCCUGCCAAGUGAAUGGAUUUAUGAUAAGCCAUCCAAACCUGUUAAUAAUGGGUCUAACCAAGAAUAUGAAGAUAUGUCACUAAUAAGAACUUUCAGUCACAUUGAAAGGAAAGUGAUAUGAAAAACAAGCCUCACAGUUGCAACCAUAAUGCUAUCAGCAUGUGAAUGUGUACUACUUCAGGAUACAGAAGAAACAUACACACAAGUCAUUUUGUGAACUUGGAAUCCUCUUUGUUCAAGAUUUUUUCAUCUAUUUAUGUAUAUACUUCAAAACUAAUGAAAUCAACACUCAAUACAACUACAAAUGCAAUGAUCUUUAGUAUGCACAGCUACCACCAAAGCACUGUUAAAGCUAAAGGUAUUAAUACUUAAAUGCCAAGAAAGCUGAUCAUAUAUGCUGAUUUUUUUUAUUUUAUUUUAUUUUAUUUUCCAUUUCAAACUCAAGGACACAUUUAGAAUUUUGUUUUUAUCUGGGUUAAGACAACUCUUUGCUUCAUCAAAGCAAUGGCAAAUUCUAUACUACAGUAUCUGUCAGCAGCUGAGAUAAAUUUUAAAAAAAGAUUUUGUCAUAGAGGAAUUUCUCACAUGCUUCUGAUGUACUGCCUGACCUUAUUUCCAGCUCCUUAUCCUGCCCUCAUAUUUCUACAUCCCUGCAACUUCUUCCACUUUUGGCCAUGUAGCCAGCUACGCCACUGAUACAGUGCACAUUUGUACAUGCCUCUCUCAAAAGAAUGAAAAUACUGAAUGUGUUUUUAAUAGUUAUAAUUUCUGAAGAAAACAUAAUAAUUACUGAUGAAGAGCAUGUCUUUGCUGUUCUUAUUAUGGCAUAUCUAGCAUUAUAAUGUAAGCUAUUUGGAUUAAAAAUAUUUUUAUAAGUUGUUUUAAAGUACUUAGAAUGCUUUUAGAGUCCAUGUAAAUAGCAACAAUAGAAUUAAACUUCAUAGAAAGAGCUUACCAUAAUUUGCAUAACAAUUAAGCACUCAGAGGAAGUGGUGCCUUGGAAUAGUUAUGUACGUGUGACUUGAGAGAAGUUAAUACUUUGACAAACUCUAUUUGAGUUACUGAUUAUUUUUUUUCCCACAAACGAUUAAGUAUUACAAGCUGAGUACUAUGUAUCAAGUUUUCUUAACACUGAAAAUAUACAUUAUGAAACAAAAAUGUUCAUAGGCUAAAAUGCCAGAGAUUACAGCAUAAUACAUUAACUGUGAAGUAGUUAUAAAACAAAGAGUAAGCCCUUUUUUACUCAACGGGGCAAUAAGUCAUAGUUAAUAUUCAAGGCUGUCCAUUAUGAUGUGGAUUCACGUUGCUAGUGAAGUUCAGCUAAAGCUUUAUCAGUACUGUAUUUUUCUAAAAUAUUUGCCUGUUCUGUAAGUAAAAUACUAAUUAAAACAAUUAUAAAAACUGA